rnacentral:rRNA from 1 species
UACGUAGGGUGCAAGCGUUGUCCGGAAUUAUUGGGCGUAAAGAGCUCGUAGGCGGCCUGUCACGUCGACUGUGAAAACCCAGGGCUCAACCCUGGGCCUGCAGUCGAUACGGGCAGGCUAGAGUGUGGUAGGGGAGACUGGAACUCCUGGUGUAGCGGUGAAAUGCGCAGAUAUCAGGAGGAACACCGGUGGCGAAGGCGGGUCUCUGGGCCAUAACUGACGCUGAGGAGCGAAAGCGUGGGGAGCGAACAGG